AUACGAAGGGGGCUAGCGUUGUUCGGAAUCACUGGGCGUAAAGCGGGUGCAGGCGGCUUGAAUAGUUAGAAGUGAAAUACUUGGGCUUAACCUAAGAAUGGCUUUUAAUACUGGCAAGCUAGAGUGCGGGAGAGGAGUAUGGAAUACCUAGUGUAGAGGUGAAAUUCGUAGAUAUUAGGUGGAACACCAGUGGCGAAGGCGAUACUCUGGAACGUAACUGACGCUCAGACCCGAAAGUGUGGGGAUCAAACAGGAUUAGAUACCCUGGUAGUCCACACCGUAAACGAUGUGUACUAGAUGUCGGUAGGCUUGCCUAUCGGUAUCGCCGCUAACGCAUUAAGUACACCGCCUGGGAAGUACGGUCGCAAGAUUAAA
rnacentral:rRNA from 1 species